GGACGUCAGUCAACAAAAAGGCCUGAACAUACUGGCUCAUAAAGGACUCAGUGCAGCAUUUACAGACCCUGACGCAAUCCGGAGCUGACCAGCACGAGGCUUGGAACCAGACCACUGUCAUACACCUCCAGGCUGCUAAGGUGCACUGCUACUAUGUCACUGUGAAGGGUUUUACAGAAGCUCUGGAGAAACUAGAAAAUGAACCAGCGAUUCAGCAGGUGCUCAAGCGCCUCUGUGACCUCCAUGCCAUACAUGGAAUCUUGACUAACUCGGGUGACUUUCUCCAUGACGCCUUCCUGUCUGGUGCCCAAGUGGACAUGGCAAGAACAGCCUACCUGGACCUGCUCCGCCUGAUCCGGAAGGAUGCCAUCCUGUUAACUGAUGCUUUUGACUUCACCGAUCAGUGUUUAAAUUCAGCACUUGGCUGUUAUGAUGGAAACGUCUACGAACGCCUGUUCCAGUGGGCUCAGAAGUCACCAACCAAUACUCAGGAGAACCCUGCCUAUGAGGAAUAUAUAAGACCACUUUUACAAAGUUGGAGAUCCAAGCUAUGAAAUAACCAACAGUAUUCAAGAAGCAACCAGCACCAUCAUGUGAUAAUGGUACUAUGGCAUAUAUGCAACAUUAAAAUUUUAAAUUAGA
rnacentral:lncRNA from 1 species